rnacentral:rRNA from 1 species
UGACUGCGUACCUUUUGUAUAAUGGGUCAGCGACUUAUAUUCUGUAGCAAGGUUAACCGAAUAGGGGAGCCGGAGGGAAACCGAGUCUUAACCGGGCGUUAAGUUGCAGGGUAUAGACCCGAAACCCGGUGAUCUAGCCAUGGGCAGGUUGAAGGUUGGGUAACACUAACUGGAGGACCGAACCGACUAAUGUUGAAAAAUUAGCGGAUGACCUGUGGCUGGGGGUGAAAGGCCAAUCAAACCGGGAGAUAGCUGGUUCUCCCCGAAAGCUAUUUAGGUAGCGCCUCGUGAAUUCAUCUCCGGGGGUAGAGCACUGUUUCGGCUAGGGGGCCAUCCCGGCUUACCAACCCGAUGCAAACUGCGAAUACCGGAGAAUGUUAUCACGGGAGACACACGGCGGGUGCUAACGUCCGUCGUGAAGAGGGAAACAACCCAGACCGCCAGCUAAGGUCCCAAAGUCAUGGUUAAGUGGGAAACGAUGUGGGAAGGCCCAGACAGCCAGGAUGUUGGCUUAGAAGCAGCCAUCAUUUAAAGAAAGCGUAAUAGCUCACUGGUCGAGUCGGCCUGCGCGGAAGAUGUAACGGGGCUAAACCAUGCACCGAAGCUGCGGCAGCGACACUCAGGUGUUGUUGGGUAGGGGAGCGUUCUGUAAGCCUGCGAAGGUGGCCUGUGAGGGUUGCUGGAGGUAUCAGAAGUGCGAAUGCUGACAUAAGUAACGAUAAAGCGGGUGAAAAGCCCGCUCGCCGGAAGACCAAGGGUUCCUGUCCAACGUUAAUCGGGGCAGGGUGAGUCGACCCCUAAGGCGAGGCCGAAAGGCGUAGUCGAUGGGAAACGGGUUAAUAUUCCCGUACUUGGUGUUACUGCGAAGGGGGGACGGAGAAGGCUAUGUUGGCCGGGCGACGGUUGUCCCGGUUUAAGCGUGUAGGCUGGUUUUCCAGGCAAAUCCGGAAAAUCAAGGCUGAGGCGUGACGACGAGGCACUACGGUGCUGAAGCAACAAAUGCCCUGCUUCCAGGAAAAGCCUCUAAGCAUCAGGUAACACGAAAUCGUACCCCAAACCGACACAGGUGGUCAGGUAGAGAAUACCAAGGCGCUUGAGAGAACUCGGGUGAAGGAACUAGGCAAAAUGGUGCCGUAACUUCGGGAGAAGGCACGCUGACAUGUAGGUGAAGUGAUUUACUCAUGGAGCUGAAGUCAGUCGAAGAUACCAGCUGGCUGCAACUGUUUAUUAAAAACACAGCACUGUGCAAACACGAAAGUGGACGUAUACGGUGUGACGCCUGCCCGGUGCCGGAAGGUUAAUUGAUGGGGUCAGCGCAAGCGAAGCUCCUGAUCGAAGCCCCGGUAAACGGCGGCCGUAACUAUAACGGUCCUAAGGUAGCGAAAUUCCUUGUCGGGUAAGUUCCGACCUGCACGAAUGGCGUAAUGAUGGCCAGGCUGUCUCCACCCGAGACUCAGUGAAAUUGAACUCGCUGUGAAGAUGCAGUGUACCCGCGGCAAGACGGAAAGACCCCGUGAACCUUUACUAUAGCUUGACACUGAACAUUGAGCCUUGAUGUGUAGGAUAGGUGGGAGGCUUUGAAGUGUGGACGCCAGUCUGCAUGGAGCCGACCUUGAAAUACCACCCUUUAAUGUUUGAUGUUCUAACGUGGACCCGUGAUCCGGGUUGCGGACAGUGUCUGGUGGGUAGUUUGACUGGGGCGGUCUCCUCCUAAAGAGUAACGGAGGAGCACGAAGGUUGGCUAAUCCUGGUCGGACAUCAGGAGGUUAGUGCAAUGGCAUAAGCCAGCUUGACUGCGAGCGUGACGGCGCGAGCAGGUGCGAAAGCAGGUCAUAGUGAUCCGGUGGUUCUGAAUGGAAGGGCCAUCGCUCAACGGAUAAAAGGUACUCCGGGGAUAACAGGCUGAUACCGCCCAAGAGUUCAUAUCGACGGCGGUGUUUGGCACCUCGAUGUCGGCUCAUCACAUCCUGGGGCUGAAGUAGGUCCCAAGGGUAUGGCUGUUCGCCAUUUAAAGUGGUACGCGAGCUGGGUUUAGAACGUCGUGAGACAGUUCGGUCCCUAUCUGCCGUGGGCGCUGGAGAACUGAGGGGGGCUGCUCCUAGUACGAGAGGACCGGAGUGGACGCAUCACUGGUGUUCGGGUUGUCAUGCCAAUGGCACUGCCCGGUAGCUAAAUGCGGAAGAGAUAAGUGCUGAAAGCAUCUAAGCACGAAACUUGCCCCGAGAUGAGUUCU